rnacentral:lncRNA from 1 species
ACGAAAUUUUUUAACUCACAUUCCGCGUGUCGUUGAUUGAAAUUCGAAAAGACCAAAUUACUGUGAUUAUAUAAACGGCGAAGUUUCCGCAAUUUUCUCUUUCGUUAUCGGGAUAGAAAAAAAAUGAGUAAGAGACAGCUGUGUGCAUUUACUCGAGUGAACGAAAGUACUCUAUUCGAAAUUUCCGGUCUACAUAUUCCACCGACCUUUAUAAAGAGAGAUAAGAGCAUAUACAUCGUGAUAUGCAGUUAUUUUUCACGAACGAAAUGAGCGAAAAAGAAGUGGAUUUUUGAUACCGAAUACUCGUGAAAAAGAUUCCAGUUCGUCGAUCGGGCGAAAGUGACACAUGAUGUGAAAAACGGUGGGAUUUUGCACGAGUAUAAGAGGAGAUGAAGAGGGAGACGAGCAGAGAUCGGCAGGCAAUGAGAUCGCGUUAAAAAAUUGAAAUAUGACGAACGUUUGUUUUGUUGACGACACGCGAUCAGCAACAGCCGCCAAUAAUCGCUGCGGAAUUUGUCUGACAAGCGAUUUUUCCUGAGGAUAACGGAGGAGAAAAAGAAAAGGGUAAAUUGACAGGCUAAAAAUUGUCUUAA